rnacentral:snRNA from 2 species
CAACUUACCUGGACGGGGUCGAUGGGCGAUCAAUAAGGUCUAUGGCCUAGGCUUGUGGCCUCCAUUGCACUUGGGAGGUGCAACUGUCUAAGGUCUCCACAAGUACGUCGUAAUUUAUGGUCGUGGGGGCCUGCGUACGCGCGGUCACUAU